rnacentral:rRNA from 1 species
UAAGGUAAUGCGGAAGACAUUACUGAUUUGCUUAAUUGCACCACAUGUGUUUUUUAUUGAACAAAUUUCUUUGAGUGGCGGGAGCAAUCCUACCGCCAGAGGUUAUAACUAAACCAAACUUUUUAUUUACAGUCAAACUUGAUUUAUUAUUACAAUAGUCAAAACUUUCAACAACGGAUCUCUUGGUUCUCGCAUCGAUGAAGAACGCAGCGAAAUGCGAUACGUAAUAUGAAUUGCAGAUAUUCGUGAAUCAUCGAAUCUUUGAACGCACAUUGCGCCCUUUGGUAUUCCAAAGGGCAUGCCUGUUUGAGCGUCAUUUCUCCCUCAAACCCCCGGGUUUGGUGUUGAGCAAUACGCUAGGUUUGUUUGAAAGAAUUUAACGUGGAAACUUAUUUUAAGCGACUUAGGUUUAUCCAAAAACGCUUAUUUUGCUAGUGGCCACCACAAUUUAUUUCAUAACUUUGACCUCAAAUCAGGUAGGACUACCCGCUGAACUUAAGCAUAUCAAUAAGCGGAGGAAA